GACAAGGCUGAGAUGAAUUCCUGUACAUGACAUUAUACUCCCCUUCUCCUGUAUUGACGGUCACAUGCCCUUUGUCAGUGACCGUAUGAGGGCAGCAUUUAAACAAUAUUCUACUCCUCUGUCUAGUGGUUGUCCUGUUUGUAAAGUGGCAAAGUUUAAAUGGAUACUGAAAGAACAGUUCUGUGGUUCUAUGAAAUCACAAAUUUCUUACAGGGUGAAUGUUCCAAUACUUCCCUUCACAUUGAAAAGAAAUUAUGUGUGCAUUUUCAUGGUAGAAUUGAGAGAGAUAUGAAUCGAUGGUGGACAAUUCUAGAGGAUAUCAGAGAGUUGAAUUUGCAAAUGAUAUCACAGGAGCCAUGUUUCUUCCUAAGUUAUACAAGGACCAAAGGUUUCACUUGUUUCAGGGACUGUAUUAAGUAUUUAUUUGUGUUUUAGACUAAUAACACUUCUUUCAGCAGUCAGGAGCCUAACCAACACCAGAUAGUACACCACUCACACCUGUUAAUGUAUUGCAAUAAAAUUGUAGUGUUUGCAAAAGAACUUCUUUAAAGAACUUUAUAUGAUAAUGGCCUAAAAUUGCUUUCAAAAUGAAAAUAUUCAUUUU
rnacentral:misc_RNA from 1 species